GCCAGCAGCCAUAUCACCCUGCAUCUCACAACUGGCAACCUACUGAAGCUAAGCUAUUGUGAGCCUAGUCAGUACCAGGAGGGAGACCUCCUGGGAAAAACUAAGGUUGCUGCUGGAA
rnacentral:rRNA from 1 species